rnacentral:rRNA from 1 species
AUUGAACGCUGGCGGCAUGCUUUACACAUGCAAGUCGAACGGUAACAGGCCGCAAGGUGCUGACGAGUGGCGAACGGGUGAGUAAUGCAUCGGAACGUGCCCAGUCGUGGGGGAUAACUACUCGAAAGAGUAGCUAAUACCGCAUACGAUCUAUGGAUGAAAGCGGGGGACCGUAAGGCCUCGCGCGAUUGGAGCGGCCGAUGUCAGAUUAGGUAGUUGGUGGGGUAAAGGCUCACCAAGCCAAAGAUCUGUAGCUGGUCUGAGAGGACAACCAGCCACAUUGGGACUGAGACACGGCCCAGACUCCUACGGGAGGCAGCAGUGGGGAAUGUUGGACAAUGGGCGCAAGCCUGAUCCAGCAAGGCCGCGUGCAGGAAGAAGGCCUUCGGGUUGUAAACUGCUUUUGUACGGAACGAAACGGCUCUGGUUAAUACCCGGGGCUAAUGACGGUACCGGAAGAAUAAGCACCGGCUAACUACGUG